UAUGGCCAUCUCAUGUUGAAACACUGGUUCCUGUAUGAUUACCAAAGUUAAGCAAUGUUGAGCCUGGUCAGUACCUAGAAAAGUGACCACUUGGGAAUACCAGGUACUGUAAG